ensembl:lncRNA
CUCAAAGCAGGCUGUGGGGGCAGUGAGAUGCGUGUCCCUACACGGCUGUCCUCCCGUGACAGCCCAGCAGGCCACAGCUGUGAUGACAAGGGGCGUCGGGAGACUCCGUUUACCCUGUCAGUUGCUGGUGAUAUAUGGAGAGAGAGCGAUGUAUACACUGGAAUGCUCAAUCACUGAUUCCAAGUGAGAAGUCGGCCCUCUUCGCUGCAGCCCAACCAUGCUCAGUUAAUUCCCCACAACUCUGCUGCUCUUCACACUGCAGCCACAGCAAGCGGCUGGUCCAUCUAUGAACGGCACAUUCUCCAUUGUGCACGUGGCCCUGCCCACCACCCCUCUCUCCCUCACAAAACUUCCUGACACCACUCAAAUCUCUCUCUCUUUCCAAAAAAUCCACGAGGCUCCUGCACCUCGGGCCUCACCACCUCGGGCUCCAUCACCUCCCAGUAGCAUCACAAGGCUCCAGCACAGGGGCUGGUAGAGGACAUUCGUGAAGGAAAGAACGAAGGAAAUGUCAGAGUGGAGCAACAAUCCUGGAAAGUAUUUAGGACGCCUUCACAGUCUUGAUCAGUAGAAUCUGGAGCAAGGAGGCAAAGGACUGUAUGCCAAACAGGCUAUGUAUAUAUAAUGUGUUUUAAAAAGUACAUUGUCUGGGUGACAGAAGAGAAUGACUUGUUGUCUUUUCUCCAAAACAAUAAACAAACUUC